UACGGAGGGCGCGAGCGUUGUCCGGAAUCACUGGGCGUAAAGGGCGCGUAGGCGGCCCUGGUAAGUCUGCGGUGAAAGCCCGGGGCUCAACCCCGGGUCGGCCGCGGGUACUGCCGGGCUGGAGUGCCGUAGGGGCAGGCGGAAUUCCGGGUGUAGCGGUGGAAUGCGUAGAUAUCUGGAGGAACACCGGUGGCGAAGGCGGCAUCCUGGACCAACACUGACGCUGAUGAGCGAAAGCCAGGGGAGCAAACGGG
rnacentral:rRNA from 1 species